rnacentral:rRNA from 1 species
UACGUAGGGGGCAAGCGUUGUCCGGAAUCAUUGGGCGUAAAGAGCGUGUAGGCGGCUCGAUAAGUCCGUUCUGAAAGUCCAGGGCUCAACCCUGGGAUGCGGAUGGAUACUGUCGGGCUCGAGUCCGGAAGAGGCGAGUGGAAUUCCUGGUGUAGCGGUGGAAUGCGCAGAUAUCAGGAGGAACACCAAUAGCGAAGGCAGCUCGCUGGGACGGUACUGACGCUAAGGCGCGAAAGCGUGGGGAGCGAACAGG